UACGUAGGGCGCAAGCGUUGUCCGGAUUUAUUGGGCGUAAAGAGCUCGUAGGCGGUUUGUCGCGUCUUCCGUGAAAACUGGGGGCUUAACUUCCAGCUUGCGGUGGAUACGGGCUGACUGGAGUGCGGCAGGGGAGACUGGAAUUCCUGGUGUAGCGGUGAAAUGCGCAGAUAUCAGGAGGAACACCGGUGGCGAAGGCGGGUCUCUGGGCCGUUACUGACGCUGGGGAGCGAAAGCGUGGGGAGCGAACAGG
rnacentral:rRNA from 1 species